GGUCUCUGCUCAAACUUGCUGG
rnacentral:misc_RNA from 1 species